AACGAACGCUGGCGGCAUGCCUAACACAUGCAAGUCGAGCGAGAUCCCUCGGGGUGUAGUCGCGCACGGGUGCGGAACGCGGGGGAAUCUGCCCUUAGGUUCGGAAUAACAGUUAGAAAUGUCUACUAAUUCCGGAUGAUGUCGUAAAGUCCAAAGAUUUAUCGCCUGAGGAUGAGCCCGCCUGGGAUUAGCUAGUUGGUGUGGUAAAGGCGCACCAAGGCGACGAUCCUUAGCUGGUCUGUGAGGAUGAACAGCCACACUGGGACUGAGACACGGCCCAGACUCCUACGGGAGGCAGCAGUGGGGAAUAUUGGACAAUGGGGGCAAGCCUGAUCCAGCCAGGCCGCGUGAGUGAUGAAGGCCUUAGGGUUGUAAAGCUCUUUUAUCCGGGACGAUAAUGACGGUACCGGGAGAAUAAGCCCCGGCUAACUUCGUG
rnacentral:rRNA from 1 species